GGGGACGCGUGGUUCGACAGGGGAACUGUGCUUAAAAUCGCAAGCCGAGGCGCCAUCAACCUCGUUAACAAGGUGGCAAAACCGUAACUGGCGAAACUGUCGCUCUAGCAGCCUAACAAGGCAAGCUACGCCUGCGCUCCACUCCCCCGAUGGUGAAGUUCAGGCGCCGAAUAGUCGGGGCAGGUAACGUUCAUGCCGGUGGUGCGAUACCUGUAAAACAAUCGGCUAGCGCUGUCGGCAUUACUAGUCGCCGGGGGCCGGCAGGGCGAAUCUCAAAGGCGACUAAGCUUGUAGUGAUUUUGGGUGAGGUUUUCUUGGACGGGGAGUUCAACUCUCCCCCGUCUCCACCA
rnacentral:tmRNA from 1 species